rnacentral:rRNA from 1 species
GUCCUAGCUGUAAACUCUGUGAGCUAGGUGUUGCAUAUUCUUUUGGGAAUAUGCAGUGUCGAAGUGAAGAUGUUAAGCUCACCGCCUGGGAAGUACUGUCGCAAGACUGAAACUUAAAGGAAUUGGCGGGGGAGCACCACAAGGGGUGCGGCGUGCGGUUUAAUCCAAUUCAACGCGGAAAAUCUUACCAGAGGCGACGGCAGGAUGAAAGUCAGGUCGAAGACUUUACUUGACGAGCCGAGAGGUAGUGCAUGGCCGCCGU